rnacentral:rRNA from 1 species
CCUACGGGUGGCAGCAGUAGGGAAUAUUGCACAAUGGGGGAAACCCUGAUGCAGCAACGCCGCGUGAAGGAUGACGGUUUUCGGAUUGUAAACUUCUGUUCUUAGUGAAGAUAAUUACGGUUUCUUAAGAAUCAACACCGGCUAACUCCGUGCCAGCAACCGGGGUAAUACGGAGGGUGCAAGCGUUACUCGGAAUCACUGGGCGUAAAGGGCGCGUAGGCGGGAUAGCAAGUCAGCUGUGAAAUCCUAUGGCUUAACCUUUGGACUGCAGUUGAAACUGUUAUUCUAGAGUAUGGGAGAGGUAGGUGGAAUUCUGGGUGUAGGGGUAAAAUCCGUAGAGAUUCAGAGGAAUACUCAUUGCGAAGGCGACCUGCUAGAACAUAACUGACGCUGAGGCGCGAAAGCGUGGGGAGCAAACAGGAUUAGAUACCCUUGUAGUC